rnacentral:misc_RNA from 1 species
UACAGAGGCCCCAAGCAUUAUCCGGACUCACUGGGCGUAAAGGGUGUGUAGGCGGCUGUGUUAGUCUCCUGUGAAAGGCUUUGGGCCCAACCCAGAGACCGCGGGGGAAACGGCAUAGCUUGAGGAUGCGAGAGGUAAAGGGAACUCAUGGUGUAGGGGUGAAAUCCGUUGAUAUCAUGGGGAACACCAAAUGCGAAGGCACUUUACUGGCGCACUCCUGACGCUGAGACACGAAAGCGUGGGUAGCGAACGGG